rnacentral:rRNA from 1 species
AUUGAACGCUGGCGGCAGGCCUAACACAUGCAAGUCGAGCGGAUGAGAGGAGCUUGCUUCUUGAUUCAGCGGCGGACGGGUGAGUAAUGCCUAGGAAUCUGCCUGGUAGUGGGGGACAACGUUUCGAAAGGAACGCUAAUACCGCAUACGUCCUACGGGAGAAAGCAGGGGACCUUCGGGCCUUGCGCUAUCAGAUGAGCCUAGGUCGGAUUAGCUAGUUGGUGAGGUAAUGGCUCACCAAGGCGACGAUCCGUAACUGGCCUGAGAGGAUGAUCAGUCACACUGGAACUGAGACACGGUCCAGACUCCUACGGGAGGCAGCAGUGGGGAAUAUUGGACAAUGGGCGAAAGCCUGAUCCAGCCAUGCCGCGUGUGUGAAGAAGGUCUUCGGAUUGUAAAGCACUUUAAGUUGGGAGGAAGGGUUGUACGUUAAUACCGUGCAAUUUUGACGUUACCGACAGAAUAAGCACCGGCUAACUCUGUGCCAGCAGCCGCCGUAA